GCCUUAGGGUUUUAAACCCUAAACUGAAUUUUUUCCAUUUAGUCAGCAUUAGGGUUUUAAACCCUAAACUGAACUUUUUCCUUUAAUCAGCCUUAGGGUUUUUAAACCCUAAACUGAACUUUUUCCAUUCAGCCAGCAUUAGGGUUUUAAACCCUAAACUGAGCUUUUCCUUCCAGUCAGCAUUAGGGAUUUAAACCCUAAACUGAAUUUUUCCUUUAGUCAACAUUAGGGUUUUAAACCCUAAACUGAACUUUUUUCCAUUCAGCCAGCAUUAGGGUUUUAAAACCUUAAACUGAGCUUUUCCAUGCAAUCAGCAUUAGGGUUUUAAACCCUAAACUGAAUUUUCCUUUAGUCAGCAUUAGGGUUUUAAACCCUAAACUGAACUUUUUUUCCAUUCAGCCAGCAUUAGGGUUUUAAAACCUUAAACUGAGCUUUUCCAUGCAAUCAGCAUUAGGGUUUUAAACCCUGAACUGAACUUUUUCCUUUAAUCAGCCUUAGGGUUUUAAACCCUAAACUGAAUGUUUUUCCAUUCAGCCAGCAUUAGGGUUUUAAACCCUAAACUGAACUUUUCCUUUCAGUCAGCAUUAGGGUUUUAAACCCUAGACUGAACAUUUUCCUUUAAUCAACAUUAGGGUUUUAAACCCUAAACUGAAUUUUUCCUUUAGUCAGCAUUAAGGUUUUAAACCCUAAACUGAAUUUUUCCUUUGGUCAGCAUUAGGGUUUUAAACCCUAAACUGAACCUUUCCCCAGCUAGUCGAUAUUAGGGCUGCAACCCUGAACUGAGCAUGCAUAUCCUCUUUCAUCAAUUUUAUGAACUUCCUGGCGAAUAAUUCACGAAA
rnacentral:lncRNA from 1 species